rnacentral:misc_RNA from 1 species
GAUGAAGAACGCAGCAAAAUGCGAUAAGUAAUGCGAAUUGCAGAAUUUCCGUGAAUCAUCGAAUCUUUGAACGCACAUUGCGCCCCUUGGUAUCCCGAGGGGCAUGCCUGUUCGAGCGUCAUUUCACCACUCAAGCCUGGCUUGGUGUUGGGCGACGUCCUCUUUGGGGACGCGCCUCGAAACGCUCGGCGGCGUGGCACCGGCUUUAAGCGUAGCAGAAUCUUUCGCUUUGGAAGUCGGGGCCCCGUCUGCCGGAAGACCUGCUCGCAAGGUUGACCUCGGAUCAGGCAGGGAUACCCGCUGAACUUAAGCAUAUCAAUAAGCGGAGGA